AUAUCAAUAAGCGGAGGAAAAGAAACCAACAGGGAUUGCCUCAGUAACGGCGAGUGAAGCGGCAACAGCUCAAAUUUGAAAUCUGCCUCUAGGCCGAGUUGUAAUUUGUAGAAGAUGCUUCGGGUGUGGCACUGGUCUAAGUUCCUUGGAACAGGACGUCAUAGAGGGUGAGAAUCCCGUAUGUGACUGGCUGCCUUCGCCCAUGUGAAGCUCUUUCGACGAGUCGAGUUGUUUGGGAAUGCAGCUCAAAAUGGGUGGUAUAUUUCAUCUAAAGCUAAAUAUUGGCCAGAGACCGAUAGCGCACAAGUAGAGUGAUCGAAAGAUGAAAAGCACUUUGAAAAGAGGGUUAAAUAGCACGUGAAAUUGUUGAAAGGGAAGCGCUUAUGACCAGACUUGCGCCGGGUUGAUCAUCCAGUGUUCUCACUGGUGCACUCUGCCCGGCUCAGGCCAGCAUCGGUUCUGGAGGGGGCAUAAAGGCCGCGGGAACGUAGCUCCUCCGGGAGUGUUAUAGCCCUGGUCGAUACGGUGAUCUGGACUGAGGUCUGCAGCCGAACUUUGGGGUGGCGGUCGCUGGGUG
rnacentral:rRNA from 1 species